CUGUUCUACUUUACAAACGUGGUCAAGAACCAUUUUUGCAGGCUAAAGUAUUAAAUGGACCCAUGGCCUUUAACAUUAUUUUUUAUAACAUUGGUAAGAUUAGGGGCAAUAUCUUUAAUAUCACUUAAAUUUUAAGCAUUAUUUAAUAUCUUUCAGAAAAAUAAUUUAAAACUAAAGGUCAGAUUUCUAAGGGACAUGUCAAUAUUUUUGCUCAUAUGCUAGGUUCUUCUGAGACUCUGCUAAUGGCACCAUGAAACAGCCAUGUUGCAAUCUUUGUCCUUUAGGACAUGGUGAACAGAACUAAGUAAGUCAACAAAAAUUUUCAGCACCGCUUAA
rnacentral:lncRNA from 1 species